UACGUCAGCGGCAGACGGGUGAGUAACGCGUGGGAACAUACCUUUUGGUUCGGAACAACACAGGGAAACUUGUGCUAAUACCGGAUAAGCCCUUACGGGGAAAGAUUUAUCGCCGAAAGAUUGGCCCGCGUCUGAUUAGCUAGUUGGUGAGGUAACGGCUCACCAAGGCGACGAUCAGUAGCUGGUCUGAGAGGAUGAUCAGCCUCACUGGGACUGCGACACGGCCCAG
rnacentral:rRNA from 1 species